UACGGAGGGUGCAAGCGUUAUCCGGAUUCACUGGGUUUAAAGGGUGCGUAGGUGGGUUGGUAAGUCAGUGGUGAAAUCUCCGAGCUUAACUUGGAAACUGCCAUUGAUACUAUCAGUCUUGAAUACCGUGGAGGUCAGCGGAAUAUGUCAUGUAGCGGUGAAAUGCUUAGAUAUGACACAGAACACCGAUUGCGAAGGCAGCUCACAAAACUGUAACUGACGCUGAGGCACGAAAGCGUGGGUAUCAAACAGG
rnacentral:rRNA from 1 species